UACGUAGGGGGCGAGCGUUGUCCGGAUUUAUUGGGCGUAAAGAGCUCGUAGGCGGUUCGGUAAGUCGAAUGUGAAAUCUCCACGCUCAACGUGGAGGGGUCAUUCGAAACUGCCGUGACUUGAGUACGGUAGGGGAGUGUGGAAUUCCCGGUGUAGCGGUGAAAUGCGCAGAGAUCAGGAGGAACACCCGUAGCGAAGGCGGCACUCUGGGCCGAUACUGACGCUGAGGAGCGAAAGCGUGGGGAGCAAACAGG
rnacentral:rRNA from 1 species